GGGUCAGUAGGUUGGUCGUGCCACCGGUACGUACUGGUCUCACUGAUUCCUCCUUCCUGAAGAACCGUAAUGCCAUUAAUUUGGUGUUGCGGGGAAACAGGACUGUUACUUUGAAAAAUUAGAGUGUUUAAAGCAAGCUAACGCUUGAAUACAUUAGCAUGGAAUAAUGAAAUAGGACGACCGAUCCUAUUUUGUUGGUUUCUAGGAUUGACGUA
rnacentral:rRNA from 1 species